AACGCACAUUGCACCCUCUGGUAUUCCGGGGGGUAUGCCUGUUCGAGCGUCAUUACAACCCUCAAGCUCUGCUUGGUAUUGGGUCUCGCCUCUCUGGUGGGCCUUAAAAUCAGUGGCGGUGCCAUCUGGCUUCUAGCAUAGUAAUACCUCUUGCUAUGGAGCUCAGGUGUUUGCCUGCCACCAACCCCAUCUUAUAUGGUUGACCUCGGAUCAGGUAGGGAUACCCGCUGAACUUAA
rnacentral:misc_RNA from 1 species